UACAGAGGGUGCGAGCGUUGUUCGGAAUUAUUGGGCGUAAAGGGCGCGUAGGCGGUGCGGUAAGUCACCUGUGAAAUCUCCUGGCUCAACUGGGAGCUUGCAGGCGAAACUGCCGUGCUGGAGUGUGGGAGAGGUGCGUGGAAUUCCUGGUGUAGCGGUGAAAUGCGUAGAUAUCAGGAGGAACACCUGUGGCGAAAGCGGCGCACUGGACCACAACUGACGCUGAUGCGCGAAAGCCAGGGGAGCGAACGGG
rnacentral:rRNA from 1 species